UACGUAGGGUGCGAGCGUUGUCCGGAAUUAUUGGGCGUAAAGAGCUCGUAGGCGGUGUGUCACGUCGGCCGUGAAAACCUGCAGCUUAACUGUGGGCGUGCGGUCGAUACGGGCAUCACUGGAGUUCGGCAGGGGAGACUGGAAUUCCUGGUGUAGCGGUGAAAUGCGCAGAUAUCAGGAGGAACACCGGUGGCGAAGGCGGGUCUCUGGGCCGAUAUUGACGCUGAGGAGCGAAAGCGUGGGGAGCAAACAGG
rnacentral:rRNA from 1 species